rnacentral:tRNA from 2 species
GCAAGUGUGGCCGAGUGGUUAAGGCGCUGUGUUUAGGUUAUCAUGUCACAUGGUUUCACAUCCACAGUUCUAACGAGCGUGAGUUCGAAUCUCACCGCUUGCA